UGAGGAAUAUUGGUCAAUGGACGAGAGCCUGAACCAGCCAAGUAGCGUGCAGGAUGACGGCCCUAUGGGUUGUAAACUGCUUUUAUGUGGGGAUAAAGUGAGCUACGUGUAGUUUAUUGCAGGUACCACAUGAAUAAGGACCGGCUAAUUCCGUGCCAGCAGCCGCGGUAAUACGGAAGGUCCAGGCGUUAUCCGGAUUUAUUGGGUUUAAAGGGAGCGUAGGCCGUGGAUUAAGCGUGUUGUGAAAUGUAGACGCUCAACGUCUGAAUUGCAGCGCGAACUGGUUCACUUGAGUAUGCACAACGUAGGCGGAAUUCGUCGUGUAGCGGUGAAAUGCUUAGAUAUGACGAAGAACUCCGAUUGCGAAGGCAGCUUGCGGGAGCACAACUGACGCUGAAGCUCGAAGGUGCGGGUAUCAAACAGGAUUAGAUACCCUGGUAGUCCGCACAGUAAACGAUGGAUGCCCGUUGUUAGUUCACUUAAGAAUUAGCGACCAAGCGAAAGCAUUAAGCAUCCCACUUGGGGAGUACGCCGGCAACGGUG
rnacentral:rRNA from 1 species